UGACCCAAUACCUUCCGUCGGACGGGCUUAGCCCAUCAAAAACGCGCGGGCUUUUUUUUCAUAUUUGUUUUGUUGAUCAGCAGAUUUGUUUAUUUUUAGAAAAAACAUAUAACGGUUAUUAGGUCAUUAUCUUUUUUCGAGUUUGAAACUGUUUUUUGGAUUUCUACUUGAUUCUCGCUAGUUUUAAAACUGAUUCUUCUUCAUUUCAAAGAAACCGAUAUAUUAUUUACUGAUUAUUUCUAGAAUUUUUCUGCUUCUCUGCUUCUCUGCUUCUCUGCUGUUGAAACUUAGCGUGUUUUUUUGUUCGUAAUUCAUUACUGUUGCAUCGCAAAUAUGGUGAAGAGGAUCAAAGAUUAUGAUUCUAGGUAUAAUUUCGUUUGAUUUUUGCUGCAAAUUUUUUUUUUGUUUUCAAAAUUUUAGCGUUUUUGUUGUUGUAAUUGUAAUGUAGCCCGAAGUCGAAGAAGGUGAAGAGUGUCGCAUCUUCAGGAAAAAUUUUGGCACUGUCUACUGCUGGGAAGAAGAAAGAGAAAGAUGGUGAUUAUGAUCCAAGAUGUGAUAAAUCAUUGUCUAAGAAGAAAGGCAAAUCUGAUUUAUCACCAAUCAAGUUUUCAUUUUCAAGAUCUAAUCCCGAUCAACAGAAAGACACAUUUGAUAGAUCGAAUAUGUGAAGAACAUGCACAAGUUGAAGAGGAAUGCGCUUGCAUUCUGUCAAGUGAAUUUGGAGAUUGCCCAGAAUAUUCGGGAGGAAGGCGAGAAGCUGUCUCAAGAC